AGUUAUUGAUAAUGGUAUUGAUUCAGUAACAUGCUACCGGCUCGAUGGUGCAGGGAUAAUGCUUGUGGUUGACCUCAUCAGGAAUGAGCUGACUUUUCCCACCCAGCGCA